GACGAAGGGGGCUAGCGUUGUUCGGAAUUACUGGGCGUAAAGCGUGCGUAGGUGGUUUGUUAAGUCUGCUGUGAAAGCCCCGGGCUCAACCUGGGAAUGGCAGUGGAUACUGGCAAGCUAGAGUGCGGUAGAGGGGUGUGGAAUUCCCGGUGUAGCGGUGAAAUGCGUAGAGAUCGGGAGGAACACCAGUGGCGAAGGCGGCACCCUGGACCAGCACUGACACUGAGGCACGAAAGCGUGGGGAGCAAACAGG
rnacentral:rRNA from 1 species